AGCACAUCUGCCCGGCCGGCUCUAAAGUAUCGCUAGGAGUUCCAGACCAGGAAAAAGAAUCCAGGGAAGGAGGAUGUGACGGACUCACGCAGAUUGCCUGAAGCUGACGCAGACCAGGCCUUCGUGGCGCUCCUUUCACGAGCAGCCCUUUCUCUACCAUAUCUGGCUUCUCUUCCCACAACUUCCCCACAGCAGCCUAGCUGCUUUCCCAGUCUCUUGCAAAUAAUACUCCUUCUGCAAAGUCUGGUUAUUAAAAUGUAAUAUAACAG
rnacentral:lncRNA from 1 species